UGACAUGACACUGUCAUGAACACAGAAUUAUUUUGUGCAUUCAUGACUGUUGUCAUUAAGUGUCAUUUGGUAAAUUAUGACACUUUUAAUGCAAAGUUAGCAUUGUCCAAGGU